GAAGGCGAAGAGGGAGAGAAGACAGAAACAGAGGUAAAACAAGAGUGAGCUUUGGAUGGGCAUUCACUCGAUUAGGAGAGCUCCAGGACUUGAGACGGUUCCGAACCGACAUUCAGGAAGUAUUAUUUUUACUGGAUCAGCACCAAGGGCCAGGACAAUGGGGUCAGCUAUCUCCAGCAUGGACUGAAGGAUGGAUGCCACGACAAUGAAGAGGAUUAUAGAAAGGAGGAAGGCUCGAUGGAUGACCUGCAGCUCGAUGAGACCCGUCUGGACAGCCAAGAUCAGCAGGGCCUAUCCAUCCUUGAAGAGGGCUCACUACUCUGAUGGUCUUCCAGAAUUGCUCCAAUUAUUUCUGUCCUAAAAAAAGGUUUUCUGCAGAGUUUUCUGUAUCCAAAUCCAGGAUAAAGAUGCUGGGUGCAAUACAUUAUCAAAUAUUCUAUUCAUCUGUUGUAAGAAUGAGAAUAUAAUGUAGU